rnacentral:rRNA from 1 species
GAUGAACGCUAGCGGCAGGCUUAAUACAUGCAAGUCAAGGGGUAGCAAUACAACCGGCGCACGGGUGAGUAACGCGUACACAACAUACCAUAUACUGGAGUAUAGCUUUGGGAAACUGAAGGUAAUCCUCCAUAACAUUGCGAGAGGGCAUCUGAUUGCAAUUAAAGUUUCGGCGGUAUAUGAUUGGUGUGCGUUUGAUUAGCUAGUUGGUAGGGUAACGGCCUACCAAGGCGACGAUCAAUAGCUGGCGUGAGAGCGCGACCAGCCACACUGGAACUGAGACACGGUCCAGACUCCUACGGGAGGCAGCAGUAGGGAAUAUUGGACAAUGGAGGAAACUCUAAUCCAGCCAUGCCGCGUGAUAGAUGAAGG